rnacentral:rRNA from 1 species
AUUGAACGCUGGCGGCAGGCCUAACACAUGCAAGUCGAGCGGUAGAGAGGUGCUUGCAUCUCUUGAGAGCGGCGGACGGGUGAGUAAUGCCUAGGAAUCUGCCUAGUGGUGGGGGAUAACGUUCGGAAACGGACGCUAAUACCGCAUACGUCCUACGGGAGAAAGCGGGGGAUCUUCGGACCUCGCGCCAUUAGAUGAGCCUAGGUCGGAUUAGCUAGUUGGUGAGGUAAUGGCUCACCAAGGCGACGAUCCGUAACUGGUCUGAGAGGAUGAUCAGUCACACUGGAGCUGAGACACGGUCCAGACUCCUACGGGAGGCAGCAGUGGGGAAUAUUGGACAAUGGGCGAAAGCCUGAUCCAGCCAUGCCGCGUGUGUGAAGAAGGUCUUCGGAUUGUAAAGCACUUUAAGUUGGGAGGAAGGGUAGUAACCUAAUACGUUG